UCGCUGGUUGUCGGUGGAGAGGAGGAGGGGGAGAGAGGCUCACUCCAUUUUUCCUCUUCCUCCGUCCUUCCAGUUGCCGGCGAAGGUUAUGUGAGAGUCGCCGUUUCAUCUGCAACUACAGUAGAUCCGUGAGCUUGCAACCUUCAUCUCUGUGCCGUUGAUUUCUUCCUCUUUCGUCCGUAUUGUGCUAUGGUGCUUUGAAUCCUUUCUCUAUUCCUUCUGCACGUUGCCAGUGUGUACAAGGGAGUUGUUUCUGUUGCUGCUGGAGGUUUGAUUCGCUGGUCAUUCUCCUCCUCUGUUUCGGCUCACAGCUGCUCUUCUUGAUCUUCAUGUUCUGUCACUGCAAUUCUAGUUCCCCUUCCUUCGGUACUCUUUGCUUUAUUGAUAGCAUAAUUGAUGCUGUAUGUCUUGCUUGCCAAGGAUGGGUGUUUGCGGAACAGAAUGGAGGCUUGUUCUGUAAAUAUGUCUUAUGGAUGUAAAGGUGAAAUUUAUGUAUUAUGUCAUGAGAUAUAUAAUUAGGUGCUCCACAUAACUUAUAAUUAGAGUCCUUAGUUUAUUAUACAUUUUGCCUAUUGGCUGGAAGGAGCUGAGCUCUUGAUUGAUAAAAUGUUUAAGGAAAACUUUUGUGAUACAGAA